UGUGAGAGAUCACUUGGUGCCUUCGGGAGCGCAGAGACAGGUGCUGCAUGGCUGUCGUCAGCUCGUGUUGUGAAAUGUUGGGUUAAGUCCCGUAACGAGCGCAACCCUUGUCCUUAUUUGCCAGCACGUAAUGGUGGGAACUCUAAGGAGACUGCCGGUGACAAACCGGGGGAAGGUGGGGACGACGUCAAGUCAUCAUGGCCCUUACGAGUAGGGCUACACACGUGCUACAAUGGCCGGUACAAAGGGUUGCGAACUCGCGAGAGUCAGCGAAUCCCUUAAAGCCGGUCUCAGUCCGGAUCGGAGUCUGCAACUCGACUGCGUGAAGCUGGAAUCGCUAGUAAUCGCAUAUCAGCCAUGAUGCGGUGAAUACGUUCCCGGGCCUUGUACACACCGCCCGUCAAGCCAUGGAAGCUGG
rnacentral:rRNA from 1 species